UCAAACAAAAACCCUUACCAAAUUUCUCACUGUUAAAAUCCCUCUCUCCUUCUUUUUAGGGAAAAAAGGAAAAGAAAACAAUCCUUUCCCUUUUCUCUUUCGGAAAUGGAAGAAGAAGAUCAACGCAAAGUCACAGAUCUAGUGAUUGAGUUAGUCCGUCGCUUACUUUCUCAGCAAAACUCUCAAAGCCCAAACCUUAACUCUCCUCAUUUCUCCCAAUCUCUUCGUUACGCUCUUCGCAUACUCUCCAGCCGUCUAACCCCUUCCAUUUCCCCUGAUGCUGACGCCAUCGCCGAAUCCAUCAAGCGCCGUCUCGCCACUCAAGGUAACUCCUCUGAUGCCCUUACCUUCGCUGAUCUCUACACCAAAUUCGCUUCCAAAAAUGGUCCGGGAAGCGUUAACAACAAAUGGGCAGUUCUUUACUUGCUUAAAAUUGUGUCAGAAGAUCGAAAAACCGCGAAAAACAGCAUGGAUUCUUCGGUUUUCUUGCCUAAUUUAGGUUUAAAUGAUGAUGAAACGGGAAAUAAUUUAAGGGCUUUGAAUGGUAAAGAUAAUAGAGAAAAGGAUUGGAAAAAUGGGGUUUUGUUGGUGUCUAAAGACCCUGAAAAUUUACGUGAAAUUUCGUUUAGGGAGUUAAGAAAUUUGGUUAAGGAAGAGAAUGAAGUGAGUGAGGAGGUUUUGGUUAGAGAUGUGUUGUAUGCUUGUCAAGGGAUUGAUGGGAAGUAUGUGAAAUUUGAUAGUACUUUAGAUGGUUAUUCUUUAUCCGACUUAGUUAAGGUACCUAGAGCUACUCGAAUUAUUGUUAGGAAGCUUUGUGAAUUAGGUUGGUUGUUUAGGAAGGUUAAAGGGUAUAUUUCAGAGAGUAUGGAUCGCUUUCCUGCUGAAGAUGUGGGGACCGUGGGACAGGCAUUUUGUGCUGCGUUGCAGGAUGAGUUAUCAGAGUAUUAUAAGUUAUUGGCUGUGCUAGAGGCUCAGUCAAUGAAUCCAGUUCCAUUGGUUUCGGAGACUGCAAGUUCGGGGAAUUAUUUGUCCUUGAGGAGAUUGUCUGUUUGGUUUGCUGAGCCAAUGGUGAAAAUGAGGUUAAUGGCUGUUUUGGUUGAUAAAUGUAAAGUUUUGAGGGGUGGGGCAAUGGCUGGUGCUAUUCAUUUGCAUGCACAGCAUGGUGACCCACUUGUUCACGACUUCAUGAGGCGAUUGCUUCGGAGGGUUUGCUCUCCGCUUUUUGAAAUGGUGAGGAGUUGGGUUUUGGAAGGGGAAUUGGAGGAUAUUUUUGCUGAGUUCUUUAUCGUGGGGCAACCAGUGAAAGCUGAAUCGCUUUGGAGAGAAGGUUACCGGCUCCAUGCUGGAAUGUUGCCUUCAUUUAUUUCACAGUCUCUUGCUCAACGUAUUCUGAGGACUGGGAAAUCUAUUAAUUUUCUUCGUGUCUGUUGUGAUGACCGAGGUUGGGCUGAUGCUGCAGCAGAGGCUGCGGCUGCUGCUGGAACUACAACUAGAAGAGGGGGCCUUGGAUAUGGAGAAACUGAUGCACUUGAAUCUCUAGUCAUGGAAGCAGCUAAGAGAAUCGAUAAGCAUUUGUUGGAUGUUAUAUACAAGAGGUAUAAGUUUAAAGAACACUGUCUUGCGAUCAAGCGAUAUUUGCUGCUUGGGCAGGGUGAUUUUGUUCAGUACCUGAUGGAUAUUGUUGGACCAGAGCUUUCUGAGCCUGCUAAUACUAUUAGUUCCUUCAAGCUAGCAGGAUUACUGGAAAGUGCAAUUCGGUCAUCUAAUGCACAGUAUGAUGAUCCUGACAUACUAGAUCGAUUGCGGGUUAAGAUGAUGCCACAUAACACUGGUGAUCGGGGCUGGGAUGUGUUCUCAUUGGAAUAUGAUGCUAGGGUUCCACUAGAUACAGUAUUUACUGAAUCUGUCAUGACCAGGUAUUUAAGAAUUUUUAAUUUUCUGUGGAAGCUUAGACGGGUGGAGCAUGCACUCAUUGGUGCUUGGAAGACAAUGAAACCCAAUUGUAUUACCUCUCAUGCAUUCACAAAGCUGCAACGUGCAGUAAAAUUGCAAUUGCUUUCAACUUUGAGGCGGUGCCAGGUUCUUUGGGAUGAGAUGAAUCAUUUUGUUACAAACUUGCAAUACUAUAUCAUGUUUGAAGUCUUGGAGGUAUCAUGGUCCAAUUUUUCCAAUGAAAUGGAAGUAGCCAAAGAUCUUGAUGAUCUACUUGCAGCACAUGAGAAAUACCUCCAUUCAAUUGUAGAAAAGUCACUCCUAGGUGAACGAUCACAAACCCUUUACAAGUCACUCUUUGUCCUGUUUGACCUUAUAUUACAAUUUAGAAGCCAUGCAGAUCGGUUAUAUGAAGGAAUUCAUGAGUUGCAAUCAAGAACUGUGGAAUCCUCUUCAAACUCUCGAGACAAAAGCAAAUCAAGUAGGCAAAGAAAGGAUAAAUCUUCAGAGCCAGGGUCUUGGAGUAGUGAAGGCAGGAAAGCCAUAACACAACGUGCUAGUGAAUUCCUUCAAAAUAUGGGACAAGAUCUAGAUGCAUUAGCUACAGAGUAUACAUCAUUGCUUGAGGGUUUCUUAGCUCGGUUGCCUGUUCAGCAACAUAUAGAUUUGAAAUUCCUCCUUUUUCGGCUAGAUUUCACUGAAUUUUAUAGUCAGCAGCAUCCUACCGUAUAAAAUGCUGUCAAUACAUAUGGGUUUAAGGAAUUGCUUCUAACAUUUUGGGACACGAAUGUAGUGCUUCAAUUCACUAAGUCAAUUCCGCCAUGCUGCCACAUGAAUUAAACUCAGUCAUCUGGCAGCUGUAUAGACUGACCAAUUUGUAGGACAUUGCUUGAUUUUAGAUGGUGUGCUUUCUGAUGGCUUGUGUGGAACUUUGCAGUUCAGUUGAAGGUAUUUUUGUAAUGUUUUAUUGUGGUGUUCAAUGUAGUAGUGUACACGUUUUGAAUCCGAUAGUCCAAUGAUUCAUUAGUGUGUCCUUACAGCUCUUACAACUUAUAUGUUGUAAGCUUGUAUAUUCGUACCAUAUUUCUCAAUUUGUUAAUUUAUGAGCAAUUCAUUCUAUAUGUUUGAUUUUUAUAUCCUUUUAUCUGGUUUAACUAGAAUUUUUUUUGGCCUUCCCUUGGAUAUUUAUUUGUGGCAUUAAGUUGUGAUUUUGUAUUCCUUUUUGGUUGCAAAGCCUGGUUUUUGGUAUUGCUGUAAGUUUGGCUCGCGAUGCAAAGUGUGGUGGCCGAUACACGUUCACAAGGAAGAUUGACUAUUUUUCAUGAUUUUCUACUAUAAAGGAGCAUCAGCAUACGUGUAAUAUAUAUAACAUCUCUCAUUGCAAUACCAAGAGUGAUUGGUUUGUAUUUUUGGAGUUGAAUAGAGAUCAGCAAGAACUAGAACUUUUGAGUUCAAAGUAUUACAGACUGUUCUAAUGGUUGCUGCUUUUGAGCUUACUCCUUUGACCUUAUUCUCUGGUUACGAUUAUACAUUAUUUGUAAAAAAUAUUGUGGGAAAUUAAUAUUUCAAUAUAGCUGAUGGUUUGGACUA